rnacentral:tRNA from 4 species
GGUGCCGUAGGCAAAUUGGUAAAGCCCCCGAUCUUUCAAGUCGGCGUUUGCGGGUUCAAAUCCCGUCGGCACUG